rnacentral:rRNA from 1 species
CGAACGCUGGCGGCAGGCCUAACACAUGCAAGUCGAGCGCCCGUAGCAAUACGGGAGCGGCAGACGGGAGAGUAACACGUGGGAACGCGCCCUUCGGUUCGGAAUAACUCAGGGAAACUUGAGCUAAUACCGGAUACGCCCUUACGGGGAAAGAUUUAUCGCCGAAGGAACGGCCCGCGUCCGAUUAGCUAGUUGGUGAGGUAACGGCUCACCAAGGCGACGAUCGGUAGCUGGUCUGAGAGGAUGACCAGCCUCACUGGGACUGAGACACGGCCCAGACUCCUACGGGAGGCAGCAGUGGGGAAUAUUGGACAAUGGGCGCAAGCCUGAUCCAGCCAUGCCGCGUGGGUGAUGAAGGCCCUAGGGUUGUAAAGCCCUUUCGGCGGGGAAGAUAAUGACGGUACCCGCAGAAGAAGCCCCGGCUAACUUCGUGCCAGCAGCCGCGGUAAUACGAAGGGGGCUAGCGUUGCUCGGAAUUACUGGGCGUAAAGCGCACGUAGGCGGCUUCUUAAGUCGGUGGUGAAAUCCUGGAGCUCAACUCCAGAACUGCCUUCGAAACUGGGAAGCUCGAGUCCGGGAGAGGUGAGUGGAACUGCGAGUGUAGAGGUGAAAUUCGUAGAUAUUCGCAAGAACACCAGUGGCGAAGGCGGCUCACUGGCCCGG